rnacentral:rRNA from 1 species
GAUGAACGCUGGCGGCGUGCCUAAUACAUGCAAGUCGAGCGAACAGACGAGGAGCUUGCUCCUCUGACGUUAGCGGCGGACGGGUGAGUAACACGUGGAUAACCUACCUAAGACUGGGAUAACUUCGGGAAACCGGAGCUAAUACCGGAUAAUAUAUUGAACCGCAUGGUUCACUAGUGAAAGACGGUUUUGCUGUCACUUAUAGAUGGAUCCGCGCCGCAUUAGCUAGUUGGUAAGGUAACGGCUUACCAAGGCAACGAUGCGUAGCCGACCUGAGAGGGUGAUCGGCCACACUGGAACUGAGACACGGUCCAGACUCCUACGGGAGGCAGCAGUAGGGAAUCUUCCGCAAAGGGCGAAAGCCUGACGGAGCAACGCCGCGUGAGUGAUGAAGGUCUUCGGAUCGUAAAACUCUGUUAUUAGGGAAGAACAAAUGUGUAAGUAACUAUGCACGUCUUGACGGUACCUAAUCAGAAAGCCACGGCUAACUACGUG